rnacentral:rRNA from 1 species
UACGUAGGGUCCGAGCGUUGUCCGGAAUUACUGGGCGUAAAGAGCGCGUAGGCGGCUCGUUAAGUGUGAAGUGAAAUCUCUAGGGCUCAACCCAGAAACUGCUUUACAUACUGGCGAGCUGGAGUGAUGAAGAGGUUUGUGGAAUUCCUGGUGUAACGGUGAAAUGUGUUGAUAUCAGGAGGAACACCCAUGGCGAAGGCAGCAAACUGGUCAUCAACUGACGCUGAGGCGCGAAAGUGUGGGUAGCAAACAGG